rnacentral:lncRNA from 1 species
UUCAGCUGCUCUUUACACUUUUACUGAAGACCCUCAAAACGGUAUGAUGCAUCUGUUUAUCCCUGCAGCAUCAACCAAAUAUCUACUUUUCCAUUAGAGGAAUUCAAGCCAGCAACUGAUGCAACUCCAGCCUGCCAGAGACAAGAUCUCACCAUGUUUCCCAGGCUGGUCUUGAACUUCUGAUCUUAAGUGAUCCUCCCACCUCAGCCUCCCAAAGUGUUGGGACUACAGGCAAGAGCCACUGGGCCUGGCCCUUAUGUUUCUUUAGAUGAGACAAGGAUAUCUCUAAGGCCCCCUAUUAGGCUGGCUGCCCAGAUGCAAAACCUGUGAACACAAGAAUGUCAGUAUUACCUGGGGAGCCACCUCCAGUCACCCGCUCUGUCUUCAUGCUCCGUGGUGAACAAUCUCCAUAAGAAGUUCAUAGGUGUUGGACACGUGUGGCCAGGCCCUGGGCUUUGAAAUCGACCCUGGUUUGCAGCUAUAUGGUUGAUGCUGCCAGACACAUCCAGAUAUGGAAAAUCAACUUUAUCCCAGGCUUUCUUGUGCCGCUCCUCCAGCCGCCUGCUCUGUUGGGUGCAGCUCCUUCUGUUCCAUUUUGCUUCAUGGGCUCUGGAAGGAGGAGUAACAGUGCACAGAUGGCAAGGUGGAACCUCCCAACACAAACUGAAUCUCUUCCUCCUUCUGCUCCUCAUUGCCUGAGCCUACUGUUCUCCCCCGCCACCACCAUUUCUAUUUUCAGGAAAAAAAGGAAAAAACUUUGGUGAUCUACAAGCUUUGGGUGACUUUUCCUUUGAGCAGGAUAACCAGAGCAGCUAGGUGAUUUUCCAAAUGCUGGCUAUGGCUAAACCCAGUCUCAAACAAAAUCGGAAAAUCAACAUGUUUCUCUUCAGAUUUUCCAACAACCCCUUUCUUCAUCUCUCUCCAACCUACAAGCUGCCCUUCUCCACCUGACAUCCCAGUAGUGGGUGACUUCCAGCAGCUGGAGGCACUUCCCACCUUCCCCAGACCUAGGCCUGCACAUUCUUCUCUCCCUUCAUCUCUGUCUCUUCAGUCUGAGAAGUUAGUCUGAGGCGUGACUGCUGCAUCAUCAAUGACUGCGUUAGAAACCCCAGCGAUUCACUGCUAUGUUCUUUAUAUGUAGGAUAGUUACUGGCACAUGGAAGGCACCCAAUAUGUAUUUGCUGAGUCAGACUGCAAAAGUGUGCAACUGGCUGAGACUCUUGGGGGUAUUUGCACAGAGAAAUAACGUAACGAUAACGACUACUAGCUAACUGCCAUUUACUAGUCACUUUACACAGUCUAAAAGCAGGAUCUCGACAUUUCUAACAGCUUGAUGACCUCAUAUUUAAUGUGGUUUUGUACAGAAAUUUCCCUGGAACCCCACACAUGACAUUGUUUGGAGCGACUCCUUCCUUGCUUACCUAUAAGCCUAAUCCUGCGUAUUGAGUCAUUCUCUUCUUGAGCAAGUAGGACUUGUUGCUCUCUUGUCACUUUUCCACCAGUGUUCCUCUCUUAAGGGAGAGAAAAAGUUAAACAUGCCUGCUUUUCAGUGUCUAUAGACGAUUGUGGAAUGUUUGAGGAAAACCUUGGACUUUUUCACAGCCACUCCCUGUCUGGGCAGCCUCGGGUCAGCCUCCUCCUGCAGUUUUUCUUUCUGUUUUUCCCCUCUGUGUGUCCCUCCUAAGAAUGUGGUCCUAUUUCCUGGAGCAGGAGCCUGUCUGCAGGCAUGGCUGGGAAGGAAGCCCUGGCCAUGAGCUGGGCUGAUGGCACCUCUGGAGCUGGCUUUCCGGCAGCUGGUGACACAGCGGGUCUGGCCUCAUUCAUUACUAAUUGUUGACGCUGUGUUCGGAGGAACGUGUUAGUAACAGCACGUACCUUGAUCAGCCACACUCAGGCCUGGGUGGAGGAGAUAGGUGGUGACUCACACAGUGGUGGAAGAGGGCCUGGUCACCUGGGCUGCCCGAAAAUGACAGGAAAGGCAGGGCCAGGAAAGGAAAUCCCCCUGCACAUCACCUCCCUCCCCUUCCCACUGCAUGCUCCACCCCUGCACCACAGGCACUUGCUUCUCACUCCUCUGUGUUUUUUUGUGGUUUUUUUUUUUGUUUUUUUU